rnacentral:rRNA from 1 species
GUGCCAGCCGCCGCGGUAAUACAGAGGGUGCAAGCGUUGUUCGGAAUUACUGGGCGUAAAGCGCGUGUAGGCGGCUUGUUAAGUCUCGUGUGAAAGCCCUGAGCUCAACUCAGGAAGUGCGCGAGAUACUGGCGAGCUGGAGUGACGGAGAGGAUGGCGGAAUACCCGGUGUAGAGGUGAAAUUCGUAGAUAUCGGGUGGAACACCUGUGGCGAAGGCGGCCAUCUGGACGUCAACUGACGCUGAGACGCGAAAGCGUGGGGAGCAAACAGGAUUAGAAACCCGUGUAGUCC